GCAGGAGAUCAUGGCUGUCGCGUCAUUCAGAGAGCCUUCCCUCGAUAGCAACGAAGAAGAAGAUGGGACCAUCGUUGUUGCUGCUAUCCUGUCAUUCCCCUGCUCUGCAGAACUGGCGCUGCAGGAGGCAAGGAUGCUCCAAGGGAGCCAGCUAAAGCCAGCGAAGGCUCAAGGACAGGCUACGCUGAAGGAAUGGAGACGGCGGACGCAGCAUGUUUGA
rnacentral:lncRNA from 14 species